GUAACAAUUGGGCUCGAUAUCCCCGCCGAGGUAGACUAUUCGAUUCUGAGACAGAAUUCAAUAACUUUUUUGUUAUGCUACAUGAUCCUAAAUAUCCGUCUUCUUUGAAGGAGUAGGCGGGAUCUGGGAUGAAAGAUAAUCAUGAGAUUCAUUUUGCACGUGGUGAUUUUCCACCGCGCAAUAUCAUGGUUGGUGUAGAUAGUGGAGUGGUUACAGUUGUUGUGGACUGGGAGCGGGCGGGCUGGUGCUCUAAAUACUGGGAUCAUGAGUAGGGUACUCUCUGAGAACUCUGGAUUACGGGAUUGUUUCCCUUAUCCAAACACAUUUUUCCCUUCAACUGUGCACAGGAGGUUCUGGCGAUGGGAUAUUUGUUACGCAUUACGAGUGAUAGACC
rnacentral:sRNA from 1 species